GAUGAACGCUGGCGGCGUGCCUAACACAUGCAAGUCGAGCGAUUCUCUUCGGAGAAGAGCGGCGGACGGGUGAGUAACGCGUGGGUAACCUGCCCCGUACACACGGAUAACAUACCGAAAGGUAUGCUAAUACGAGAUAAUAUGCUUUUAUCGCACGGUAGAAGUAUCAAAGCUCCGGCGGUACAGGAUGGACCCGCGUCUGAUUAGCUAGUUGGUAAGGUAACGGCUUACCAAGGCGACGAUCAGUAGCCGACCUGAGAGGGUGAUCGGCCACAUUGGAACUGAGACACGGUCCAAACUCCUACGGGAGGCAGCAGUGGGGAAUAUUGCACAAUGGGCGAAAGCCUGAUGCAGCAACGCCGCGUGAGCGAUGAAGGCCUUCGGGUCGUAAAGCUCUGUCCUCAAGGAAGAUAAUGACGGUACUUGAGGAGGAAGCCCCGGCUAACUACGUGCCAGCCGCCGCCGUAA
rnacentral:rRNA from 1 species